rnacentral:rRNA from 1 species
CCUACGGGUGGCAGCAGUGGGGAAUAUUGGUCAAUGGGCGCAAGCCUGACCCAGCAACGCCGCGUGAUGGAAGAAGGCUUUCGGGUUGUAAACUUCUUUUCUUAGGGACGAAGCAAGGGACGGUACCCGAGGAUUAAGUCUCCGCUAUCUACGUGCCAGCAGCCGCGUUAAUACGUAGGUGGCAAGCGUUAACCGGAUUUACUGGGUGUAAAGGGAGUGUAGGUGGGAUUGCAAGUACGAUGUGAAAUUCACGGGAUCAACCUGUGCCGUGGAUUUGAUACUGUAGUUCUUGAGUACUGGAGAGGCAGACGGAAUUCAUAGUGUAGCGGUGAAAUGCGUAGAUAUUAGGAGGAACACCAGUGGCGAAGGCGGUCUGCUGGACAGCAACUGACGCUGAGGCGCGAAAGCGUGGGGAGCAAACAGGAUUAGAUACCCGAGUAGUC